rnacentral:misc_RNA from 1 species
GCAGUUGAUCCAGCAUCUCUGUUUUGAUUAUUUUCCGACUUAAGAAAUUCUGUGUCUGUGUGGUUGUAUGCAUCAGCUAUAGCGGACUUGGUAUCCGAUAUGAACUUUGGAUGGCUGAUCAAGUUACUAAAAAGAUUGUGCUUAACAUACUCCGCAGCUCGAGCUCCGCCAUGACCAUCAAAAACACCAAAUAGACCAACUAUUUCUCCUUCCACACCAUCUAUUCGUGUCUCAUAAAAAUCUUCCAUCGAAGAUCUCUUCCCAGGAGAGCUAGCAUAUCCGUAGCUGAACUUUCCAUUCUGACUUAAUCCUCCGCCGCUUACAGGUGCCUCCUCAGCAG